UACGUAGGGUGCAAGCGUUGUCCGGAAUUAUUGGGCGUAAAGAGCUUGUAGGCGGUUUGUCGCGUCUGCUGUGAAAUUUCGGGGCUCAACCCCCGAACUUGCAGUGGGGUACGGGCAGACUAGAGUGUGGUAGGGGAGACUGGAAUUCCUGGUGUAGCGGUGAAAUGCGCAGAUAUCAGGAGGAACACCGAUGGCGAAGGCAGGUCUCUGGGCCACUACUGACGCUGAGAAGCGAAAGCAUGGGGAGCGAACAGG
rnacentral:rRNA from 1 species